AUGAGAUCUCACCCUCUCAUCGAUUUGUUCAUAUCAACCAUCGACAGCGAGCACGGCAUAUGCUACACCCAUCCUGAGAAACUUCCAGGUAUCACACUGAGUGGCCUAAGCAAGCAUUUCUUCCAGCGCAAUUCCAGGGCGUUCAAAAGGGGCACGUGGACACGUCGCAAGAUACAGUCAGAGUGCGGCAUGCACACGAUGUGGCACAAGACCGGCAAUACCUUGCCGGUGGUGGUCAACGGCCGGCAGAUGGGCAGCAAAAAGGUUCUGGUGCUGCACACCAACAAGAACUUCGACCAGCAGAGGACCAACUAG
rnacentral:rRNA from 1 species